AAUCCUGUCCAGCCGGGUUCCAAACAAAGAAAGCUGGUCCUCCCAGAACCUGCAGUCAACCUGUCAAAGUCAGAACAGAGAUGAGAUGCUGGGGAGAGGCCUGAACAAGGGGAGGUGAGGAAGAGAGGAGAGAGUAGGAAAAGAAAGGGAUGUGAAAGGGGUGCUGAGGGACCAGAGAAGGCACCUGUUUCUGAAAAGCCUGAAGAGGCUGGUUUGGGCGAAGCUGACUCCCCUACCUAGCCAACGGUCCCUUCCCUUCUUCCCCAAGGGUGAGAGUCCCAAUGAGACUGAGGGUCUGUGGCGAGUAAUGAUUAACCCUCUUCUCAGCCAGGCCCUGAGCCCUCAGCCUGACCUGGCUGGUGGGGGGAAAGAGUGCCAGCGGGCCUCGGACGUCCCCACCGCUACUCUCCACCAACAGGGCGACGAAGGGGGCUGCGGAGAAAAGGGACAGGCGGUAGCAAGGGGCAGCCGAAAGGGAACGGAGUGCAGGGCAGGGGGAGAGCAACUUCAGAUACCGGGCAGACAAGGCGAAAUAAAAUAGCCACCGCCAAUGUACAGGGAAAGGAAGGGGCCAACCGUGGGCGAGGGCGCGCGGCUCCGCGGAGCUGAGGAAUAGUUGGAGGGGGGCGGGAGAGCCCCGGUAGGCUGAGUUUUCCCGGAGUUGCGAGCAAGCAUCAAAUCUACUCUCUCGGAUCCGUCCGCGGCGCGCCCGCCCUCCCUGCCUCCUCUCCCAGCUGCUGCGCGGAUGUGAGGAGCAGGCUGAGAACGCGCCAGAGCCGGGAGCGGAAAAAAACCAAGUGAGUGCACGAGAGAUACAAAUGGAUCGUUUGGUGGAGAAAUCCGUCUUCGUCACCGCCGCCAGGCUGGGAUUAAUGCGAUUGAAGGCUCCUCCAGGCUCCGCCAGGAAGACGGGCUCAGGAAAGCAAGAGAAAUUGCUGACCACCAGCAGAUCUGAACAUAUCUACAGCUUGGUGUGUUAUAUGGGCCUGUCUGCAGAUUUGUGUGGCUGUGUCUAC